GUUUAAAUGAAAGGAAAAUACAGCAGUAUUUGAUUGAUAGUUCUAUGGAGACAUCACUUAGGAGUAUAUAUAGGAUUUACCUUCCCUGUUGGCUCCCUCCAGUUAUGCACCUUCUUCUGUCAGUAGGGAAGCUGUUUCAGCAGGGGAGUUGGACUUGAUGAUCCCCAGAGGUCCCUUCCAACACCUAGGAUUCUGUGAUUGCUUGUCUUCAGGAGCACUAUGGCCAGAAUGUACAAUCAGAAGAAUUUUUUUAUCUUCCUUUAUGAGGGAUAGAGAUGUUUGUGGAAAACACUCAUCUGCCUGCAAUAAUCAUGUUUCAUGUGCUUAGAAUUAGAUCAAUAACAUGGGCUCAAGUACAGCACUGACUUGAUUGGCUUACUGCUGCCUUUCUACUUAAGGCUUUGUUCAUUCCUGUGGAAGCAGAGCUGCUCCUCCUGGCUGUGUUCUGCAGGCAAUCCCUCAGCACAUCUUUCACCCCCAAAAACAUCUCCAAGGAUUUCUGAAGGAAAUAUCCACCAGGUUCGGCCAAGAAGCAAAAGCACAACAGACUUUUUAAGCCCAUCUUGGGGCUAAAUAAAUAAAUGAAUUUAUAAUCUC
ensembl:lncRNA